CUUUUGAGCUGAUUCAGUAUUCUCGUGUGAAACCGUGUCGAGACGCAGUAUUUGACAUCUGAAAAGAUGCAGACUACAAAGAUAUUCAAAGUCUUGAUUCCAAUUCAAAUAUCCCCAACUCCCUUCCUCGCACACACGCUGACACGCCAAUGACCCAAUUCCAUAAACAAUAUUCUAAUUUAUCAAGCUUUCCCAAUAAGACUUCAUUAAACUCAUUCUCCUUUAAUUUGUUUUUAUUUUUGUUAAGGAUUCAUGGUGUCAAAGAUUUUUCUUGUUUCGGGAUUCUUUUACUUGUUUUUCUGUGAUUUUUUUGCCGCUGAAGCUUUUAAGAGUUUGACUUUCAAUGAUACGGGCAUAGAAUUUCCUGAUCAUUCGAGCUUCAAUUCUGUUUCUUCCUCAUUAGAUUCAGAUUGUAGCUUCUCGGAAUCGAAGAAAGGAUAUACCCCCUUUAAUUUUACGCCGGAAAAUGGACCGGCCCCGUCAGUGAAGCUUCAUCUAAAGCACAGAUCAGAUGGGCGAGAAAUUAACGGCAAAGAUCGUUUAAUGGAGUCUACAGCGAAGGAUUUGACUCGGAUUCAGACAUUGCACAAGAGAAUUAUAGAGAAAAAGAACCAGAACACCAUUUCAAGAGUAAAGAAAGAUGGUGGUCAACAGUUUUCUUCGCCGGAAAGUGGGUUUUCCGGGCAGCUGACGGCCACCCUUGAAUCAGGAGUCAGUCUUGGUUCAGGAGAGUACUUCAUUGAUGUCUUUGUGGGUACACCUCCUAAACAUUUCUCUUUAAUUCUUGAUACUGGUAGUGAUCUUAAUUGGAUUCAAUGUGUUCCUUGUUAUGAUUGUUUUGAACAAACUGGCCCUUAUUAUGACCCCAAUGAUUCGAUUUCGUUUAGAAAUAUAAGCUGUCGUGAUCCACGGUGUCACCUAGUUUCAUCGCCUGAUCCUCCACAGCAAUGCAAUGCUGAGAAUCAGAGUUGUCCUUAUUAUUAUUGGUAUGGAGAUAGUUCUAACACAACUGGUGAUUUCGCACUCGAAACUUUCACUGUUAAUCUCACGACACGGAAUGGGAACACAGAAUUUAGGAGAGUCGAAAAUGUGAUGUUUGGAUGUGGUCAUUGGAAUAGAGGUCUAUUUCAUGGUGCUGCUGGAUUGUUAGGGCUUGGAAGAGGGCCACUUUCGUUUUCGUCGCAGCUUCGAUCUUUUUAUGGCCACUCGUUCUCGUAUUGUCUCGUGGAUCGAAAUAGUAAUGCGAAUGUUAGUAGCAAGUUGAUUUUUGGUGAGGAUAAAGACCUUUUGAGCCAUCCUGAAUUGAAUUUCACUUCAUUUGUUGUGGGAAAAGAAAAUCCGGUUGAUACAUUCUACUAUGUCGGGAUUAACUCGAUUAUAGUUGGAGGAGAGGUUCUGAAUAUACCAGCAGAGACAUGGGAUUUGUCACCGGAAGGUGCUGGUGGAUCUAUCGUCGAUUCAGGGACUACGUUGAGUUACUUUGCUGAUCCGGCUUAUAGGAUUAUUAAGGAGGCUUUUGUAAAGAAGAUCGAGGGAUAUCCGGUUGUAAAAGAUUUUCCGAUACUCGAUCCUUGUUAUAAUGUUUCUGGAGCGGUGAAAUUGGAUAUGCCCUCGUUCGGGAUUCUGUUUAGUGAUGGAGCAGUAUGGAAUUUCCCAUUAGAGAACUAUUUCAUCAAGCUCGAGCCGGAAGAGGUGGUUUGUUUGGCAAUUUUGGGGACGGCCCGCUCGGCUCUAUCCAUUAUUGGCAACUACCAACAGCAGAAUUUUCACAUAUUGUACGACACGAAACAGUCGAGACUAGGAUUCGCGCCAACAAAAUGUGCUGACAUAUAACGUUUUCUGACUUACUGCAUAGUUAUGGGGCUGGUGGAAAACUGUAAACAUACCUGGGUCGUGUGUAUCCAUGUACAUGGAUACAUGUCACUGUUUACUUACAAAAGGAGGUAAAAUGACAUGAUACUGAAUCCUUUCCCAUCCUUUUUUUUUUUUUUUUUUUUGGGAUUUAGGCUUAUGCAAUUCAUAUAUUGAUUGAUUACUACACAACAUAAUCUGUUUUCUUUCUAAGCUGUAUGCAAAAAAUUUGAAAUGUUUCUUAGAUCUACAAUAAAGUUGCUUGCUUAUUUGUGAAACAAUUUAGGGUUCAAAAGACCCCUACACCACUUUCGUUGCUAAAAUGUUCAUGGGUGCAUGUUUGGUAAACGGUUAAUACUAUGCUCGACAAUGCAAAAAUAAGAUUUUAACUUCUUUUUUUUGUUCUUUAGUAUUGUUCGAUGUUGCAUCAUUCACGUCACCCAACAUGCCCUUAAGUGAUGCGCUACUAUAGUGUUCAAGUCAAAGAAGGAACAAAAAUUGAGUAUUGCAUUUCAAUUGUGCUCAACAUGGAGAGAUAUGUUGUUUUAGUCAUAGUUAUAGGAUCUAAUCGAGGCAUCGAUUUGGUCGAGACGCCAUGUUAUCGGGUCGUCCAUCGGACUGUUAGGUCACUGCUUCAAAAUUAUUUAGAAAUAUUCAAAGUAAAUCAUUUUCUCUUUGAGAUAAAAUUAAACAUUUUAAGCUAUUCGUCACUAAUUAUUUUUAUAUCUAUAAAUUAUUGAUAUUAUAAACUUAUUGUGACUAUAAUGUUUACAUUUUAAUUUUAUAAUUUUGGAUAUUAUAAAAUUUCAAAAUUAGUUUAAAUUAUUUAUUAUUAAAGUAUUGGUUUUAUUUAACUAAAAAUAAUUUCUCCAUGCAUAUUAAAUUCAUAAAAUAAUUAGUAAAAUGAUGAAUUUCAAAAAUAUUUUAAGGUAACAAUAAAUGAUUUACUAUAAUAACAAAUUAGUUAUAAAUACAAAAAAUGAAUAAAGAUUUUAUUUGCCCUAAUGGUAAGCUUGCUGGACUCUAUUUGGCUUAGUUAAAAAUCAUAUUUUCAAUAAAUUUGAUAAAAGAUGAUAAAAAAAUUUAUGGAUAAAAAGGUGAAAAAUGUGGGUCACAUUAAACCCUGACAAGUAACAAUUAAUUGGGCCUAAGUCUUACAAAAAAGAGUUUGCUUGUAAAUAAACCAGUUCUUAAUCGGAUAAGUGAGUCCAACCAUCUACAACAAAUCGGCCUGGUCAAGUUCUUGGGUCGCCAGUUAUUUGGCCCAAUAAACCGGGUUUUAAUUGUUUAUAAGGGCCUGUUUUGGAGCAAUUUUUUCAUCCAAAAAAUUGAUUUUUUGACUGUUAUUUCACUAUUCAAGCCGUCAUAUUUGACUUCUUCUUUCACAAGUAGACCCCACUUUUCUCCUAACGGUCAAAAAAUCAAUUUUUAAAAUUACUCCCAAACAGGCUCUAACUAUGGAUUUAUUUCAGAUUCCCAACACUUACUCAAAUACCCACGGUAUUUUCAAAAUUGUUUUCUAAUUAUCCUGCACUUUUGACAUUGUUGAUGUAGUGAUUAAUAGUAACAGUGUUGAAAUUACACUAACUAUUUGCAAAAGUUUUGGAGUUUAAAAAAGAAAAUCAAAGAAAGUGUAGUGACCUACUAGAUUUUCUACCCAUCAUUUUGAGGUGAAGUACUAGUUUAGCAAUAAUUUCCAUCCUAUUUUCAUGUUCUUUGUUGACGUUCAAAAUCGAAGCAAUCAAUUUUGAUCAACUUAAUUGAGAAUUAUUUACUGGAAUAGUGAGAAGAUCACGUGAUUGGCUUUUUCAUAAAAGCAUUGGAGUAUAAAAAUGGAAGUGAGUAAAGUCAUGGUCUCUCAAGGGGACCAUUUGUCUCCAUUUAUAGCCGAAUUUGAAAAGGAUGGUUGCUGUAGUCACAGUCAUUUACCGUGCAUCGGACGUCAGAUGCAAUGUUCUCCUUAUUAAGUAUGUCAAAUUAUUCAAUCGAAAUUGGUUUUUAAAGGUUGAACCCCAAUCUUGAGGGCCUUCACCGCCCCCACCUUUAGAGGUUUGUGAGGGAGGUAAAUCGCGGGAUGUUCCCCAACAGGAUACUCAAGGUAAUUAUUAAUUAACACUUUAAGUCCUUUGUUGUCCCUUAAUUAAUUAAAAUUAAUGAAUCAUAUAAGCACACGCUCAAACGCUUGGUAUUUCCUUCUUCAUGGUAUAUAAGAAGAAAUGAAUUAUAACAAACAAUAAAAAAAACGAGAGAUUUAGAAGCUAGGUGGUUAUGGCUUUGGCGCCCAAAAAAUUAAUAUUCCAUUCUUCUUCAUCAUCAUCUGCUUCUGAGGGUUGUGAGUAUAUAUUAUUCUUGAACUUAAUUUUGAUUAUUCAAACCCUUUUGCAUAUUGAACAAUUUAUAUGUGUGGUCCAGUUUAAAAACCAAUUUUGGCUUCUUUUUCGGAUUUUCUAGCAGUAUCAACUGAAAUAAUCUCCUUUUCUUGUAGAAGAAAAGUUUUGAAUAAGAUUCAUGGAGAGUUUUUCUUGCUUAAUGAACAGAGAUGAUAGGUAGUGAAAUAGUAGGAAUUUCUCUAUAAACUUUUGGCUUUUCACUUGCAAUCGAGUAACUUCAUCUAGAACUCUGUUUCUUUAAGUUGUUUACAGCCAUGCUAUUGAAUAGGCCCUUUAUCUUUCUUGAAAUUAUUUUAGCAGACUCUUUUAAGCAUCACUAAACAUCUCCAAUUGGCAUUUUUUCUUGUUCUCAUCCAUGCAUAUUCUGUACUUGUCAUGAUUAUAUGCCUCUUUUUUCUUGAUGAUAUUGUUUAUCUUUAGCUCGUCUUGAAAAAUUAACAUAUGAAGUUGCUCUUGUAUAUUAAAGUCUUAGUGUGAGAUUAUGGUUCUCUUAACUCUAUUAGAUUUAAGUGCUAUUUGUGUCAUUCAUAUGGAUUGUGCUUGUCUAGUUUUAUUGUGGACCAUUGGAUGGGAUCGACGGCUGUGAUUUAUUCUAUGUGAGAUAUUUUUUGUUGCUUGAGCUUGUGUGAGAAGCUUUGACUAUUUUUCCACCAAAUAGGGCUUUCUCACGUUUUUGGAAAAACAAGUCUUUCUCUCUUAAAAUUCGGCCCUCUCUCUUCUCCUCAAGACUUCUCUCUCCAUUUGCACCUUACUGUGAGUGUUCUUGAGAGUGCCUUCUUGUGAGCUUCUUCUUGAGUGUCCCUUGUGAUAACUUAGGCCUGAAAUAGUGGCUAAGUAUAGGUGAUGUUUUUCAAAGCUUGGUAGAAGAGAGGGGUGCGGUGGUGGCGGUUUCAAAGGAGGUUCUUUGCUGGUUUCCUAGCUCUCUCUUUGGAAGGUGAUUUGAAUGACAUGGGAGCUGUUCCUGAGCCUGAAAAUCAGCCAUAAACAAAAGAAGUUGCUGUCCAGAUUUUCGGCCAUUAAUGGAUUGUAUUUUCAGUUUAUGUUUCUUGUAUUUUUGCCUUGGAAUCUUUGAUUAAAUGAUGUUUGUUGUUGGUUGAACUCCGAGAACCCAACAAACUGGUAUCAGAGCUAAGUUGUGGAGGUUUUAAGGCUGAAAAACAGCAGAAAACAGACCAGAAAAAUCGGCAGAAAACAAGAGAAAAAGGCUGUCCAAAAUCUGUGCAAAAAUCAGACCUUCAAACGCAAUUUCCUGCCAAACUAGAAGGAAUUUGGAAAAUCUAAGACCACCGGCGUGCUCUGUAGAUUGAGUAGGUACUGGUGGGGUGGCGCAUGAAUUUUUCGGCAGCGGCGCGUGGGCGGUCUCCGACGAGGUUUUUUCAGGCAGGUUUUUUAGUUUAACCUGCUGAACGUGUUAAUGUGUUUAUUUUAGUAUUUUAGGUUUUACAUAAAAAGUUGGGUGAUUUUGCCCCUGGCUUGAUGUCUACAGCGAUUCGGUUCAGACACUUGUUGGUAUAUUUACUGUUUUUCAACAGUAGUUUGGUAAGAUUAUUCCAAACUCUCCGUUAGGUUAGGUUUGAUAUUCUUACCGGUUUAUGCAUGAUUAUUGCUUGGUUGCCUAUUUGUGAAUUCCGUUGAUUGAAUUCUUAUGAUUAAUUUGUAACCUGGAAGCAUAUUUACCUGCAUUAUAUACCUGUGUUUUCAUUGUUGUGCUUCAUUUCUAAAAUUUGUUUUUAACUCAGCAUUCAUAUUUUUAUAUUGAUUAUCUGGAAAAGAAUUUUUCAAAACCUUUUCUGUUAUGUCCACGAGUACAUGCCACUCUUUUACAGAAUCUGUAAUGGGUUCGAGGGUCGAAUUAUCGUAAUUCGAUGGAAAGGGGGAUUACUCGAUAUGGAAACAGAAAAUGAGGGCCAUUUUGGUCUAACAGAGAGUUGCUAAAGCUUUCGAUGAUCCCACUACAUUUUCUGAUGAGUUAAAAGCUAAACCAACUGAAAUUGAAGAUAUGAAUGAAAUUGCUUACAGUUCUAUAAUUUUGCAUCUAUCUGACAACAUUGUAAGACAAGUUGAUAGUGCUAAAACUGCUAGAACUUUGUGGACUGCUUUAGAUGCCUUGUUCUUAACUAAAACUUUACCUAACAAAAUAUACCUGUUGGAAAAGUUGUUUAGUUUUAAGAUGGACCCGGGGAAGGAUGUUGAGGGGAAUUUGAGUGACUUUAGCAUAAUUGUUAAGAGUCUAGCUCAUAAUAAUAAAAAAUUUGAUGAUGAGGAUUUAGCUGUCAUAUUGCCAAACUCUUUGUCCGAAUCUCACAGAGAAAUGAAAAAUGCCAUAAAAUAUGAUAGGGACACUCUCACUCAAGCUAUUGUUUCCGAUGCUUUAAAAUCAAGUGAACUUGAAUUAAAAAGAGACAACAGAACUCAUUCCCGAGAAGAGAGUCUAUUUGUUAGGGGAAGACCUGAAAAGAAAGAAUUUAACUUCCAUAACAAGAAGGGGAGAGAAAAAUCUAAAAUGGGAUCCAAAUCUAAAAAUAAAAGCGGUAAGAAAUGUUAUCACUGUGGAAAGUUAGGACAUUUCAAAAAAGACUGCUUCGACUGGAAAAGGAAACAAAAAGACCCGAACAAUUCUGAUGUUGAUAAUGCUGCUAUUGUUUCUGAAUUUGAUAGUUUGCAUGUCAUGAAUGUGUCUGAGGAAGAAUUUGACAAAAAAAUGGAUUUUAGACACAGGGUACACUUUCUAUAUGUGCCCUGAUAGGUCUUGGUUCUAUAACUAUAGAGAGACUGAACCUAGGAAGGUCUACAUGGGAAACAAUAAUUCUCAAAAUGUGGUUGGAGUUGGUGACAUAGCCAUCAGAAUGUACGAUGGGGCCGUCACGCAACUCAGAAAUGUUAGAUAUGUCCCUAAGUUAAAGAGGAACCUCAUUUCCUUAGGUUCUCUUGAAGAUGAGGGAUAUACCUUCAAGUCAGAUUUUGAAAAUUAUGAAGGGUUCUCUCAUAGUUAUAAAAGGGCCUAAGAGGAAUGGACUGUACUAUCUUAAAGGUAGAACUGAAAUACCAGUUGAUUCUAGCCUUCUUACUGUGAGUAAAGACAAAACUAAAUUUUAGCAUAACAGAAUGGGUCACAUUGGGUUUAAAGGGCUAAAAUCUUUAAGUAAUCAGAAAUUACUUGGAAAAGAUGACAUUGAAGCUAUGGAAUUCUGUGAAACUUAUGUUUUGGGUAGGUCCCAUAAGGUGAGCUUUGAAGCUAGCUCUCAUAGGACCAGUAGACCAUUGGACUAUGUCCAUGCUGAUCUAAAUGCUGCUAUUGUUUCUGAAUUUGAUAGUUUGCAUGUCAUGAAUGUGUCUGAGGAAGAAUUUGACAAAAAAAUGGAUUUUAGACACAGGGUACACUUUCUAUAUGUGCCCUGAUAGGUCUUGGUUCUAUAACUAUAGAGAGACUGAACCUAGGAAGGUCUACAUGGGAAACAAUAAUUCUCAAAAUGUGGUUGGAGUUGGUGACAUAGCCAUCAGAAUGUACGAUGGGGCCGUCACGCAACUCAGAAAUGUUAGAUAUGUCCCUAAGUUAAAGAGGAACCUCAUUUCCUUAGGUUCUCUUGAAGAUGAGGGAUAUACCUUCAAGUCAGAUUUUGAAAAUUAUGAAGGGUUCUCUCAUAGUUAUAAAAGGGCCUAAGAGGAAUGGACUGUACUAUCUUAAAGGUAGAACUGAAAUACCAGUUGAUUCUAGCCUUCUUACUGUGAGUAAAGACAAAACUAAAUUUUAGCAUAACAGAAUGGGUCACAUUGGGUUUAAAGGGCUAAAAUCUUUAAGUAAUCAGAAAUUACUUGGAAAAGAUGACAUUGAAGCUAUGGAAUUCUGUGAAACUUAUGUUUUGGGUAGGUCCCAUAAGGUGAGCUUUGAAGCUAGCUCUCAUAGGACCAGUAGACCAUUGGACUAUGUCCAUGCUGAUCUAUGGGGCUCGGAGAAGCACUCCACAUUUGGUGGAAGCAAGUACUUCGUGUCCUUACUGGAUGAUUACUCAAGAAAAGUUUGGAUUUAUCCUUUGAAGGCUAAGUCGGAAACUUUUGGGAAAUUCAGGGUUUGGUUAAAGUCUGUUGAGAAUCAGUUAGACAAGAAACUUAAAACGUUAAAAACUGAUAAUGGGCUUGAAUUCUGUAAUAUCGAAUUUGACAACUUCUGUAAGUAGAAAGGUAUAACAAGACACAGAUCUGUUAAAUACACAUCUCAACAAAAUGGGGUUACUGAAAGAAUGAACAGGACCAUAAUGAACAAAGUUAGGUGUAUGUUGAUUAGCUCUGGCCUUGUGAAAGGCUUUUGGGCUGAAGCUGCAAGUACUGCAGCUUAUCUGAUUAAUAGGUCUCCAUCCAGCAGUAUAGGGUUUAAGACCCCACAUGAGUUGUGGACGGGAGAGCCUCCAAAUUUAGAACACUUGAGGGUGUUUGGAUGUGCUGCAUAUGCACACUAAUCUGAAGGGAAACUUGAGCUGAGGGCUGUCAAGUGUGUGAUGUUAGGGUAUCCCGAGGGUGUGAAGAGCUAUAGGUUAUGGGUUUUAGGGGUCCAAGGCAUUAGGAUUAUUAACAGCAGGAAUGUAGUCUUUAAUGAAUCUGAGAUGCCAUGUCUAAAACAGAAAACCGAAGAAACUAACAAAUCUGAAACUGAGAAGAGUAUUCAGACUGAGGUGAAGUUGACUAGGCUAAAUUCACCUACACCUAGGAAUGACGAAAAUGACCCUAUACAUCAUGAAAAUGAAAUUGAACUUGAACCUAAAGAGGUGACUGAACUUCAAGAUAACAUUGAACCAGUUGAAGUUGAACAUUUUAAUGAUCAGCCACCUAAUCAAGAUUAUCAACUUACUAGGGAUCGGGGGAGGAGACAGAUCAGGCUAAAUCCUAGAUAUGAAUCCCUAAACUUGACUGAUUUUGCCUUGGUUUUAGGUGAAGCCCUUGAACAGACAGAACUUGCUACUUAUGAAGAAGCUGUUAAUGGAAAAUGUUCUGUUAUCUGAUUAAUAGGUCUCCAUCCAGCAGUAUAGGGUUUAAGACCCCACAUGAGUUGUGGACGGGAGAGCCUCCAAAUUUAGAACACUUGAGGGUGUUUGGAUGUGCUGCAUAUGCACACUAAUCUGAAGGGAAACUUGAGCUGAGGGCUGUCAAGUGUGUGAUGUUAGGGUAUCCCGAGGGUGUGAAGAGCUAUAGGUUAUGGGUUUUAGGGGUCCAAGGCAUUAGGAUUAUUAACAGCAGGAAUGUAGUCUUUAAUGAAUCUGAGAUGCCAUGUCUAAAACAGAAAACCGAAGAAACUAACAAAUCUGAAACUGAGAAGAGUAUUCAGACUGAGGUGAAGUUGACUAGGCUAAAUUCACCUACACCUAGGAAUGACGAAAAUGACCCUAUACAUCAUGAAAAUGAAAUUGAACUUGAACCUAAAGAGGUGACUGAACUUCAAGAUAACAUUGAACCAGUUGAAGUUGAACAUUUUAAUGAUCAGCCACCUAAUCAAGAUUAUCAACUUACUAGGGAUCGGGGGAGGAGACAGAUCAGGCUAAAUCCUAGAUAUGAAUCCCUAAACUUGACUGAUUUUGCCUUGGUUUUAGGUGAAGCCCUUGAACAGACAGAACUUGCUACUUAUGAAGAAGCUGUUAAUGGAAAAUGUUCUGAAAAUUGGCUAAAAGCUAUGCAGGAAGAAAUGGAAUCUUUAAUGGAGAAUAAAACUUGGAAGUUGGUUAACAAACCUAAGGAUCAUAGGAUAGUUCAAUGUAAGUAGAUUUACAAAUUGAAAGAAGAAAGUAAUCCUAGUGAUCCUCCUAGGUAUAAGGCCAGAUUAGUGGCAAAGGGGUUUACUAAAAAAAAAAAAGGGUUGAUUACAAUGAGAUAUUCUCUUAUGUGAUAAAGUACAAAAUAAUUAGACUGGUUUUUGCAUUGGUUGUUCAGUUCAACUGGGAACUGGAACAACUAGAUGUCAAGACUGCUUUCCUACAUGAGGAAUUAGAAGAGAAUAUUUACAUGAGUCAGUCUCAAGGUUUUGAGGUGAAAGGUAAAAUAAACUGUGUGUGCAAAUUAGAAAGAUCUCUGUAUGGGCUUAAACAAAGCCCUAGACAGUGGUACAUAAGGUUCGAUACCUAUGUACUGAAGAUAUGUUUUAAAAGGAGUGAAUAUGAUGCAUACAUGUACUAUAAUGAUAGUAAGGAAGGCUGUGAGGUCUACUUGUUGCUGUAUGUAGAUGACAUGCUUCUAGCAAGUUCAAGUAAGACUGAAAUCACUAAGAUGAAGAACCUUUUAAAAUCAGAAUUCGAUAUGAAAGAUUUGGGGAGUGCUAAGAAGAUUUUGGGGAUGGUUAUAAAGAGAGAUAGGGUUCAAAAUAGACUAGUUGUUUCCUAAGAAGCCUAUCUAAACAAAGUCAUAACUAAAUUUGGUAUGAAUGGAUCAAAAUCUGUGAACGUUCCCUUAGCAGCUCACAUGAAUCUUUCUAGUGCACAUUCUCCUAAAACUGAGGAGGAAUUUAGAGAAAUGAGGAACAUACCCUACUCUAAUGCUAUAGGUUUCGUUAUGUUCUCUAUGAUAACAGCCAAACCUAACUUAGCCUAUGCUAUAAGUUUUUUGAGCAGAUUUAUGUCCAACCCCGGAAAGCCCCAUUGGGCAGGUUUGAAAUGGUUGUUAAGGUACAUUGUUGGUACAUUAAAUCUGGGUCUAGUGUAUGAAAAAAGAUCUGAAAAACUUACUCUAAAGGGGUAUGUAGAUUCUGAUUUUGCUGGUGACAAGGAUANUUUUUUUUUUUUUUUUUUUUGGGAUUUAGGCUUAUGCAAUUCAUAUAUUGAUUGAUU
rnacentral:lncRNA from 1 species